GCAAGUCGAGGGGCAGCAUAGGACUUCGGUCCUGAUGUCGACCGGCGAACGGGUGAGUAACGCGUACACAACCUACCCUUAACUGUGGGAUAGCCUUGGGAACUGAGAUUAAUACCCCAUAACAUUGCUUUAUUGCAUAUGACGUCAAUUAAAGCGGAGGCGGUUAAGGAUGGGUGUGCGUCCCAUUAGCUAGUUGGUGAGGUAAAGGCUCACCAAGGCGACGAUGGGUAGGGGGCGUGAGAGCGUGAAC
rnacentral:rRNA from 1 species